rfam:Salmonella enterica subsp. enterica serovar Enteritidis str. LA5, WGS project CAGR02000000 data, contig: Scaffold19-Contig2
UUUGGCGACCUCUAUUUGUUCAUUCUGUGCGAGCAGUUUGCCGACGGCUUCGCGAAUAGAAGGAUGCCAGUUAACGGCGCGAUUGACCGCGUCAUUGAGCGUCAGGUUGCCCGGCGCGGCGGCGCUGAGCGGCAACUCAGCGGCGGAGCCAUCCAGCGAAGGAAGCAUCUGGUCCGUUGCUAAUCCUUCGGAUGUAAUCAUUGGCGGCGCUUCUGCGCCCCGGGGCUGGUGAUGAAACAAAGCAAAUGCCAGUACGAUGGCGACAGGCGCGACUCUUCCCAUAGUUUAUCCCUUUUAAAUAUCACCGCUUGUUGCCCCGAACGUCGUGGCGUUCGGGGCUUUUUU